rnacentral:rRNA from 1 species
GACGAACGCUGGCGGCGUGCUUAACACAUGCAAGUCGAACGAAGUGGCGAACGGGUGAGUAACGCGUAAUCAACCUGCCCUUCAGCGGGGGACAACAGUUGGAAACGGCUGCUAAUACCGGAUAGUGGGGGAUGGACUCGCGUCCUAUCAGCUUGUUGGUGGGGUAGUGGCCUACCAAGGCGACGACGGGUAGCCGGUCUGAGAGGAUGAACGGCCACAUUGGGACUGGGACACGGCCCAGACGCCGACGGGAGGCAGCAGUGGGGAAACUUCCGCAAUGGACGAAAGUCUGACGGAGCAACGCCGCGGGAGUGAUGACGGCCUUCGGGUUGUAAAGCUCUGUUAAUCGGGACGCGGUACCGGAAUAGAAAGCCACGGCUAACUACGUGCCAGCCGCCGCGGUAAUUC